UACAGAGGGGGCAAGCGUUGUUCGGAAUUACUGGGCGUAAAGCGCGUGUAGGCGGCCUUGUAAGUCCGUUCUGAAAGCCCGGGGCUCAACCCCGGGAGGCGGAUGGAUACUGCAAGGCUCGAGUCCGGAAGAGGCGAGUGGAAUUCCCGGUGUAGCGGUGAAAUGCGCAGAUAUCGGGAGGAACACCAAUGGCGAAGGCAGCUCGCUGGGACGGUACUGACGCUGAGACGCGAAAGCGUGGGGAGCAAACAGGG
rnacentral:rRNA from 1 species